UACGGGGGGCAAGCGUUGUUCGGAAUUACUGGGCGUAAAGGGCUCGUAGGUGGCCAACUAAGUCAUACGUGAAAUCCCUCGGCUUAACCGGGGAACUGCGUCUGAUACUGGAUGGCUUGAGGUUGGGAGAGGAUGCGGAAUUCCAGGUGUAGCGGUGAAAUGCGUAGAUAUCUGGAGGAACACCGGUGGCGAAGGCGGCAUCCUGGACCAAUUCUGACACUGAGGAGCGAAAGCCAGGGAGCAAACGGG
rnacentral:rRNA from 1 species